AAGCAAACUUUGUCUAAUAUAGCUAUUUGUUUUGUGCGUGUUCAGCACAGGUAUACUACUCGGAUUUGAGACGGUGGCAGUCAUUGUGCAUUGUGCAUAAUAAUAUUAGUUUCAGCGUGGGGCGUAGCAACGACGGAAGCUCAAAACGACAUCCGGUCCCUAUUUUGUCUCAUUGCGUGGCAUUUCGACCGAUUGAGGCGUAGAAUGUGAUUGGAAGUUCUCUGGGCAUUCGGUAAAUUAUUAUUUUCACCGUUAUUUUAAUUUACAUAUGAGUAAACGAUUUGUUUUGUUUUUGUCUUAUGGUGUGAACUUACGGUGAAAUAUGGACAUUUCACGAUCGCGUUGUGGUCGUGGUUGGUCGAUUCGAUGAGUCGAACGAAAUCAUCAAAAUACCCUAAACAGAUAGUGUCAAUUUAUUAAUGCUGAUUAUUGCUGGGUUUAGUGGAAAAUGUGUAGAUUAGGGAUGACAAAUAUGUGGUUUGUCUCUUUGAAGAGUUCCAGAAGUGAUGAUGUAUUUUGUGCGUUUGGUGCAUCUGGGGAGCAUCCGUUUGUCUCUGGAGUCUUUUGUCAGGAGGCAUUCGGAAACCAUCGUUUUAUUUCGAUUGGAAAUUAUGUAAAAAAAAAAAUUGAUGUAAAACGUUAAAAGAUUUUGAAGUAACAAAUGUUGUUUGAUAAAAAAAUCACUGAGUAUAAUAUAUUUGUAUAAUGUAUAUAUGUAAUAAUAAUAAGCAAUUAAAGGGAUUAUUGAGCGGUGACCGAAAACAGACGUCAAUAUAUUAUAGUUUUUAACUUUGGAAUACCUAUAAAAAAAAAUUUUGAUGAAAAAUAAACAAGAAAAAAUAGUCAACAAUGCUCAUAUUGUAGUCAUGUAGGAUUAUGUUGUCAGAUAAUAAUGUAUGCUAUAAACAAUCAAUACGGAUUUUUAAUAAUUAACCUGAUUGAAUGCAGUUUGUAUAUGGGUACGAGAAAAUUGUUUUCAAAUGUGCAAAUAAUAUAAUAUAUUGCGACUAAAACAUACAACGUUGGUUCAUUCUAAGCGGAGUGAUUCUUUCGUUGCUAGUUAUGCCAUUGAGAUUAUAGAAUGAUAAGGAUUCUAAAUUGAUGAUCCAUAUUCCGAAAUAGAAAACCACUAAAAAAAAAUAACAUUUUUAUGCAAUUAAAGUUGUUGAACUAUGAUCAAUUAUGACUUAUGAAACCAAAUACACGAAGAGCUUUUGUUAUACAUCGCGUAAUAUUUCACAAGAUGUCAAAUGUAGUAUAUUUUUGGAUAUAUUUAUCUUAACUUUAAGAAGCUUGAAUACUCAAUACAAAUAGUUCCUCAUGAAGUUUGAAGGUUGUUGUUAAGUUUUUGUAAAAUAUAAUUUGUACAACAUUCGAGAUGAGUGAAGUUUCUUACGUCAAAAUUCAAUUAAGCGCUGUUAUACAAAUAACGACUUUAAUAAUAUAGAUUUUUGUCUUCGAGGGUACGUACGCGCAACUCAACAUUUUCGUCACUUCAUUAGGAUAUCAACGUCAAUUUUUUUUUUCGAACUCGUGCGUGGCGAAGUCGUAAUGCACACUACCGCGAUCAGAGAUGGCCGAUUGUUAUUCAGAUAUAGAAGAGGUGAUUGAUUCGUCUUUUGGCAAGUCGAUGUUCAAUUUUCGUCGAGCAAGUUACCUGCUUCACAAUUAUAAACGUCUGGCUGGUACACUUUACUGCCAACCACCACCACCACACCUUUAUAAAGUUAUCGAGUAAUCAAAAAUGCCAUUCCAGAGAAUAAAAAUGACCAACAUUUCUUUACGGAGUUACGCAAGCGAUAGGAAAACGACCGCUGAGAUCUAUCGCAAUUUUUAAUAGGUACUUCUUUAACUUCACGAAAUUAACAAAAAAUAAAUAUGAAAACAGAAUUUCUUGAUGUGAUGUUUUGAACUUUCGAAUUUAUACUAAUGGCCGGAAUACGACGUAUUAAGGUAUGUGCACUGAAAAAUUAAAAUUAAAAUGCAAAACAAAAUUUUCAUCUUUGAAGUGAAACGAAUUUGUUAUGUACCGCUGUACUCGAAAUGCAUUGUAACCGAAAAAUAAUGCUGCCUUUUGCAUUUGAAAUCCGGGCUGCAGUAUAUAUACGUGUGUUAUUAUAUUUUAACGUUGUUUAGGCGGGUUGAGUGUGCACAACGCGGCUACACAAACGCACCCUGUACAUCAUAUAAGUUACGUACCGACUACUACCCACCACUAUACUUACAUAAAUAUAAUAUGCGCGUGUGUGUGUGUGUAUUAGUAUCGUGUAUAACACUAUAUAGGUAGUAUAUAAAAAUAUACUCUGCGGCGGCGUUGAUCGCGGUGGGUCCUGAUGCACGAUGUCGGGCGGAUACGUGUGCGACAACGCGUUUCACGCGUAUUUAAAACGCCACCACAAAAUUAUACGUACGAGCCAUCCGAUAACCGUGAAGCGCAUAUUACGCAUCAACGUGUGCAGGCCGCCGCAGCGUCUGUCCCGUCACUCGUUUAUUCACAUUAUACACGU